rnacentral:rRNA from 1 species
UACGGAGGGUGCGAGCGUUGUCCGGAAUCAUUGGGCGUAAAGGGCGCGUAGGUGGCCCGGUCAGUCCGUGGUGAAAGCGCGGGGCUCAACCCUGCGUCGGCCAUGGAUACUGCCGCGGCUCGAGCACUGUAGAGGCAGGCGGAAUUCCGGGUGUAGCGGUGGAAUGCGUAGAUAUUCGGAGGAACACCAGUGGCGAAGGCGGCUCACUGGUCCAUUACUGACGCUGAGGUGCGAAAGCGUGGGGAGCAAACAGG